CAAUAGCGUAUAUUAAAGUUGUUGCGGUUAAAAAGCUCGUAGUUGGAUUUCUGCCGAGGACGACCGGUCCGCCCUCUGGGUGAGUAUCUGGCUCGGCCUGGGCAUCUUCUUGGAGAACGUAGCUGCACUUGACUGUGUGGUGCGGUAUCCAGGACUUUUACUUUGAGGAAAUUAGAGUGUUUCAAGCAGGCUUACGCCUUGAAUACAUUAGCAUGGAAUAAUAAGAUAGGACCUCGGUUCUAUUUUGUUGGUUUCUAGAGCUGAGGUAAUGAUUAAUAGGGAUAGUUGGGGGCAUUCGUAUUUAACUGUCAGAGGUGAAAUUCUUUGAUUUGUUAAAGACGGACUACUGCGAAAGCAUUUGCCAAGGAUGUUUUCAUUGA
rnacentral:rRNA from 1 species